CUGCGUGUUUGGCCUGGGGCGAGGUACUAAGAAGGUCAACGUUUCCAGAAGCAUGCUGCACUGGAGGCACCUUCAGCCCGACUGUCAAGAGGUUCAGAGCAGCCACAGCUCCCACUGAGCACUGAAUCUUCUCCCAAAAUUUUGCAAAGUUCAUUCAGUCUCUGCUGCAUUUCAGGAAUUCCUGCAAGCUGGGAUUCUAGUCUUUGUUUUUCCUCACUGAGUGAUAAGCGGAUAGCAGUGUCCAAUUGUUCAAAACGCCAGCCUCCUUCUCCAUCAAACUGCAACAAAGUAAUGGACUCCAGGCAGGAACUGGAAUUCAAAACUAGCCUUGAGUGCCCUACUGCCUGAGCCACCGGGGAUGAACUACGCUGUGAGAAUGAUACAGUUGGUCUCCGAGAGUAUGAAUUACUGCACCUAAAGUAUCUCCUCCUAAAGAAGCACCAACUAUAGCUGCACAGCCUGCCCUCCUACAGCCUCCUCCUGGGUAUCCUUCUGCUUUUCUAAAUGCUAGUAGUUCUGUCACAAAUCAAUUACUAAAGCACACUGCUAAGGGAGUCAAUUCAAACUACAAAAAAGGGACUGGUGGGACCAGAACUAUGAAAAUAAUCUACAGGAAAACACAACAGAACAAAAAACUCAUUGACAUCAGUGCUCCAACUCCCUAGAUACAACAGGAGACAUUAAUAUCUUGACAUUUACUGCGCUGAGGUAUUUAGUGUCCCCUAUUCUUAGAAUGAGGAAUACUGGGAAUACCAUGGUAACAUAUACUGCAAGUUAUAACAUGAUGGUUCUAACGGUACUCACUGUAGUUUAGUUAUUUUUAACUUGUUCAGUCUGGGGAUGCUUGUAAAAAAUACUACUGAAAAUGUGCUUGCUUUGGUCAAAGCCUUAUAGGAGAUAUAACUGAUAGUUGACAAUGAAUUUGAUUCUCCUCUCACUUGCAUCUUGUGGAGCUGCAAUGUUUUAAGACAGGUGUAAGAAGGAGAAUUGGGCCCAAUAUUUUCAUAAUAUUACACUAACAUCUAUGCCUGUGAGAUGUUCAAUUAUUUACUAAAAUAUAGGAUUUACCUCCUU